rnacentral:rRNA from 1 species
GACGAACGCUGGCGGCGUGCUUAACACAUGCAAGUCGAACGGAAAGGCCUCUUUCGGGGGGUACUCGAGUGGCGAACGGGUGAGUAACACGUGAGUAACCUGCCCUUGACUUUGGGAUAACUUCAGGAAACUGGGGCUAAUACCGGAUAGGAGCUCCUGCUGCAUGGUGGGGGUUGGAAAGUUUCGGCGGUUGGGGAUGGACUCGCGGCUUAUCAGCUUGUUGGUGGGGUAGUGGCUUACCAAGGCUUUGACGGGUAGCCGGCCUGAGAGGGUGACCGGCCAAAAUGGGACUGGGAUACGGCCCAGACUCCUACGGGAGGCAGCAGUGGGGAAUAUUGCACAAUUGGUGGAAGCCUGAUGCAGCAACGCCGUGUGCGGGAUUACGGCCUUCGGGUUGUAAACCGCUUUCGCUCAUGACGAAGCUUUGUGUGACGGUAGUGGGUAAAGAAGCACCGGCUAACUACGUG